rnacentral:snoRNA from 1 species
UGGCCUUAAAUGACACAUUAAACCAUUGACCUUCUCUGAUUGUGUAGAGCACCCGAAACCAUGAGGAGGAGGUGCAGUGUUCUCUCCUGAGCGUGAAGCGGGUCUUUGGUGUUGCUUUUGCAGCUGCUAUUGGCCAUUGAUGAUCGUUCUUCUCUUCCUUUGGGAGAGUAAGAGGGAGAGGACACCAUCUGAGUGGA